rnacentral:rRNA from 1 species
AGAGUUUGAUCCUGGCUCAGAUUGAACGCUGGCGGCAUGCUUUACACAUGCAAGUCGAACGGCAGCACGGGGGCAACCCUGGUGGCGAGUGGCGAACGGGUGAGUAAUAUAUCGGAACGUACCUGGAAAUGGGGGAUAACGUAGCGAAAGUUACGCUAAUACCGCAUAUGCCCUGAGGGGGAAAGCGGGGAUUCGCAAGGACCUCGCGUUUUCGGAGCGGCCGAUAUCGGAUUAGCUAGUAGGUGAGGUAAAGGCUCACCUAGGCGACGAUCCGUAGCUGGUCUGAGAGGACGACCAGCCACACUGGAACUGAGACACGGUCCAGACUCCUACGGGAGGCAGCAGUGGGGAAUCUUGCGCAAUGGGCGAAAGCCUGACGCAGCCAUGCCGCGUGAAUGAUGAAGGUCUUAGGAUUGUAAAAUUCUUUCACCGGGGACGAUAAUGACGGUACCCGGAGAAGAAGCCCCGGCUAACUUCGUGCCAGCAGCCGCGGUAAUACGAAGGGGGCUAGCGUUGCUCGGAAUUACUGGGCGUAAAGGGAGCGUAGGCGGACUGUUUAGUCAGAGGUGAAAGCCCAGGGCUCAACCUUGGAAUUGCCUUUGAUACUGGCAGUCUUGAGUACGGAAGAGGUAUGUGGAACUCCGAGUGUAGAGGUGAAAUUCGUAGAUAUUCGGAAGAACACCAGAGGCGAAGGCGACAUACUGGUCCGUUACUGACGCUGAGGCUCGAAAGCGUGGGGAGCAAACAGGAUUAGAUACCCUGGUAGUCC